UAAGACGAGGGAUCCUAGCGUUGCUCGGAAUCAUUGGGCGUAAAGCGGGUGUAGGGGGCUAUAUAAGUCAGGUGUGAAAGCCCGGGGCUCAACCCCGGAAGUGCAUUUGAUACUGCAUAGCUUGAGUGUCGGAGAGGUCAUCGGAAUACCUGGUGUAGUGGUGAAAUACGUAGAUAUCAGGUGGAACACCGGAGGCGAAGGCGGGUGACUGGCCGAACACUGACCCUGAGACCCGAAAGCGUGGGGAUCAAACAGG
rnacentral:rRNA from 1 species